GCCCCAGUAGCUCAGUUGGUAGAGCAGCGCACUUGUAAUGCGCAGGUCGUGCGUUCGAGUCGUACCUGGGGCACCA
rnacentral:tRNA from 1 species